rnacentral:snRNA from 1 species
AAAUGAAUUAUGUAGGUGGUUUUCGCAGGGCGAGGCUCAUCCAUUGCACUCCGAGUGUGCCAUUCCCUGAGAUUUCCCCAAAUGCAGAAAACUCAACUACAUAAUUUGUGGUAGUGGGGGACUGGGGUGGUGCUCUGG